rnacentral:lncRNA from 1 species
CGCCCCUGCGGCACCGCCGUCGCCGUCCCAGCGCCGCAGGGCCAAGAACCCCGACCUCAACCGGGAGCCCACCCCCGACACCGACGACGACGAGUGAACUGCUGUAAACCCCCGCCAAUUCUUCAGUUCUUCUCCGACCACCAUCACCACCUACAUACCUAGUACUAGUGCGUCUUAAUUAGUGGUUAGCAACCAGCAGCGAGGUAGCUAGCGGUAGCAGAGCAUCAACCAUCUCAGUGAGCAAGCAGAUACUAGUUCAGUCAGUUCAAGAAGACAUGGGGAAGCAAGCAUGGAUCGGACAUGCAAGGUGUUCGGUGAAAUGCCGGAUGAGCUCGGGGACCAAACCCGACCAAUAAUGGAGCCGCGACGUCGCAGUCAGCUCGGCCAGGGGGUUACUAAGUAGGGCCUGGGCUAUCAGCGACGGCGAGCUUGGUGGCAGUAGACUCAGGGUGUGUGAGUGCGUGCUUGGGCAUGGGCAUGCACCUAAGCAAGGUGCAUGGCCAUGUACCGACCUGCAUCAGAUAUAAGAGUGUUUGUAAAGAGAGAUACCGGCGAACAAACAAAAGCUUCAAGAAUCAUUCCAUGCACGCACUCUCUCUUUCGUCUCUGUUUCUUCAUCUUGAUUCCCACAUCAUCAUGGCCCGAUUCCAGGAAAGCAGCAGCGGCAGUGCAAUUCCGUGUGCUUUUUCGAGAGGAACACCGAACACGGCGGCCAGGUCCCAGUUCCCACCCGCCUCAAAAGCAGCAGCAGCAGCCGCCACCGCCGUAGCGUCUCGUGGUGCGCCUCCCCUCGUGUCGGCGUGCCGUGGCCGUGGUGGGCCGCCGACGUGGCCCGUGGUGCGUCUCCCCUCGUGUCGGCGUGCCGCGGCCGUGGUUAGCCGGUGGUGGGCCGCAUCCUCCACCUGCGCCGGCCACCGCCGGGCGAGUCAGGCGUACUGCCUCGUGUGUACGGCAUAUGAUGAUGGGUGUCAGUGGAGUCUGGAGUGGACCGGUGGUGCUAGGUGCUCACGAGGUUUGGGUUUAGCGCGGGCCCCGUGGGGGAUUAGUGCGUGGCGUGGGUGAUGCUGCGUCUUAUCGGGCUAAUGAUAAUGAUGCGCGUGUGUCGGCACUUGAUUACGCCGCUUACGAGCCGCCCUGGAAGAUUCGUGUGGAGUCGGACGUCGCAGUCAGUCCAUGGACAUGGACGGACCAGGUGUCGACCGGCCGCACCAGCACCACCAGGACCCAGGAGUACUUGUUUCCUUUUUCUUCUGGAUGGAAUUGUGCAUGGGAGUCCAUGAAAAUCCAUGGAGCCAAUCAUCAGUCGCCGAACUAUCCGGAUCGAGCGCGGGAGGGCGCCAAAUGACCUCGUAUCACUCCCCGUUGAACUGGGUGACAAGUUUAGUUAGAUUGUGAGAAAGUUUCAUAGGAUCUGAGAAUUGCCGUUCGAGUCGGCAUCAAUCAGGUUUUGUGCAACUUGUAGUGAAAACAAAACAAGUGGGUGGUGAGUGAGCAAGCAAGCUGCCAGGGAAACUCUGCGGAUUUGGAGAAACAAAACAAACAGGUAAAACAAGCUGCCGGCCGGGACCAUUCUCUGAUUGUCUGUUUGACCUGUUCGGUGGCGGCGUAAACAUGCAUUUCUGAGCUGUCGAGAGCAUAAAAACAAAUUGGGACGCUGAGAUUCCGAAAGCAGCGUGUGUGUUUAUAUAUGAAUUCAGAGAUCCGCGUAUCAUCGUUCGGCUUGCAUUCGGCGUUGACGCUCGUACUAUCAUGUUCUCUUCUUUUAUGGAUUGGAUCUGUUGAUCGGCCGGCCCUAUUGUAGGAUUCGUAUGGGUGCACGAUCGAGACAAUCUCAGAUGUUCUUUUUUAUAGGAAAUGCUAAUGCCUCUGUUUCGUCGCCAGAAACCAUCACACUAGCUUGGACAACAAAGUACGGAGUAGAAAAUAGAG